rnacentral:rRNA from 1 species
CCUACGGGAGGCAGCAGUGAGGAAUAUUGGUCAAUGGACGAGAGUCUGAACCAGCCAAGUAGCGUGAAGGAUGACUGCCCUAUGGGUUGUAAACUUCUUUUAUAUGGGAAUAAAAUGUUCCACGUGUGGGAUUUUGUAUGUACCAUAUGAAUAAGGAUCGGCUAACUCCGUGCCAGCAGCCGCGGUAAUACGGAGGGUCCGGGCGUUAUCCGGAUUUAUUGGGUUUAAAGGGUGCGUAGGUGGAAUGUUAAGUCUGUUGUGAAAGUUUGGGGCUCAACCCUAGACUUGCAGUUGAAACUGGCGGUCUUGAGUACAGUAGAGGUAGGCGGAAUUCGUGGUGUAGCGGUGAAAUGCUUAGAUAUCACGAAGAACUCCGAUUGCGAAGGCAGCUCACUGGAGUGCAACUGACGCUGAGGCUCGAAAGUGUGGGUAUCGAACAGGAUUAGAUACCCCAGUAGUC